rnacentral:lncRNA from 1 species
CCUGCUGGCUCUGGGUAACUUUCCCCUCUUACCCCAGAAAGUCCUUGUUACGUUACCUAUUUGAAAGACUAAGUCUUGAGCAUGAACAGUUAACACUACAAGUCCUCAGCAAACCAAGAGUGACCAAGAAAGAAAGGACGGGAGAGGGUUUUGUGUUUGUAGGCUUGGGAACUGAGAAAUGGAGGCAGUGCCCUGGGAAUUCUUCACAAGAGAUUAUAUUUUCUACAGCCGUUUACAAUUACACCCGCACUGUGUCAUUUCAGUUUUCUUUGGUUGGCUGUGUGUUUUCUUCAGCACAGUUCACAGAAGGAGAACUGAGACACCAGGAGAUGAAAUGGACCUAACUACAGUGACCAAGGAGAGGCAUAAAAAUGAGUGGAAGAGAGUGAGGAUGGACAAAGGGAGAAGCAGCAAGUAUCCUAAAUGGCUGACAAACUUCCUACGACCAUUCCACACUGGAAAAAUAAGGCCCUCAGAACAGCCGAGGUCUCUUGGUGACAAUCAACAUAAGAUCUGUAUGAACCUGUGUAAACUACAUUAGACUCAACCUGGCCAAGAGAGAAACUGAUAAAUAAAGGGAAACACCUCAGUUGUGUUCA